UGAACCCUAAUUCCCUAAAGGCGCCCAAUUCCUAAAUCCCUAAAUCAUAUAACAAUUCAGUCACACGUAGUCACACCGUUUUCUCUUUACAUCACCGGCGAAAUAGACAAUAGACCGCCGGCACAAGAGAUGAUAUACCACCGGCGAUCUACUCCCUUUCUUUACAACGACGCUGCGACCGGCGACCCGCAACCGCAAUCCGCGACCAGCGAAUUUGGUGUUUCGUGUUUGUUGAGCGGCACCGGCGACUGUGAUCUCUUUGUUUGAGGCGGCGGCGCGACUAUGGUUUUUGUUUGUUAAGCGGUGACCGGCGGCGACUGGUUUUCCACUUAUUUGUUCCAGCGAUUGCCGAUUAGUCAGUCUUCAAAAUAUGUCUAAUCUGAUUGGAAGUAGGGUAAGUGAAGAUUGAGCAUCAAAUAAAAAUGUUUCAACUUCAUCUUCAAAUAAAGUUGAAACUGCGGUUGAAGCUGAACUAUCGAAAAAAAGAAAGGUCAUGGAACCGAAGGCAAGAUAUUGGCAGUGGUUUGACAAGAUUGUUGAUGGAAAAACCGGAGCUAAGAAAGCACAAUGUAAGUAUUGUGGAAAAAUUUAUGCUGUUGCUUCAAGUGCUAGUGGUACUUCGUCCAUGAAUAAUCACAUGUUAAAAUUAUGUCCUUACCGCCCUAAUGUUGGUGUGAAAGAGAAAGACAGUCAAACAAAAUUAGCUUUUCUACCAUCGUCUGCGGAUGAAAAAGGAGGGGCAUUGAGUACUUGGACAUUUGAUCAAGGACGAAGUAGGAAAGCUUUAACUCAAAUGAUAGUUGUUGAUGAGUUGCCGUUUAGUUUUGUUGAAAAAGAAGACUUUAGAAAUUUCAUGAGAGUCACAGCCCCACAGUUUCAUAUUCAUUCUCGUAGAACCUUGACAAGAGAUUGUUAUCAGUUCUACAAUGAAGAGAAACAAGUUUUGAAAAAGGUUUUCAAAGAAGUGCGUCCAAAAGUUUGUCUUACGACAGAUACUUGGACGUCCAUACAAAAGAUUAACUAUAUGUGUCUAACAGCUCACUUUAUACAAAUUGGAAAUUGCAUAAAAGAGUGAUAAAUUUCUGUCCAAUUUCUAGUCAUAAAGGUGUUGAUAUGGCUGCUUUCAUUACUAAUUGUUUGCUUGAAUGGGGUUUGGAUACUGUUUUUAGUAUUACAGUUGAUAAUACUAGUUCCAACGAUGUUACGAUGAUACAAAUAUCUACAUAAUUAAGUAACUGGGGAACUAGCAUAAUGGAGGGUCAACAUCUUCAUGUGAGGUGUAUGGCACAUAUUCUUAAUCUUAUUGUGCAAGAUGGGCUGAAGGAAAUUGAUAAGUCUGUCAAGCGAGUGAGACAAGCUAUGAAGUAUGUUAAACAAUCUGCCGCGAGAGUUAAAAAGUUCAAAGAAUGUUGUGAAUCUCAAUUGAUAACUUGUAAGAAAUUUUUAUGUUUAGAUGUUCCUACUCGAUGGAACUCUACAUACUUGAUGCUUGAAACAACACAACAUUUUGAGCUUGCAUUUGAAAGAUAUAGUUUCUAUGAUAAUGGUUUCUUGGAUAAUCUCCGUACCUGAAGAUGGAAUAAGGCAGGCGCCUUUGUAAGUGAGGACUGGGAAAAUGUGAGGACAAUGGUAAAAUUUUUGAAAACUUUUUAUGAUCUUACUUUGAAAGUUUUUGGUUCAAAAUAUGUUACUACCAAUGCACACUUUGUAGAAAUUGCUGAACUUAAUCUGAUUUUGAAAGAGAUGAUAGAAAAUGAAGAUUCUAAUUUGAAAAAAAUGGCAGCAACUAUGAGGGAAAAGUUCAGAAAGUAUUGGGGUACUCAAGAGAAAAUGAACAAAAUGAUCUUUAUUUCAUCUGUGUUGGAUCCCCGCAACAAACUUGAAUAUGUUCCUUUUGCAAUUGUAGACAUGUUUGGAAAAGAAAUUGGGGACAAGUUGUCCGAUUCAGUGGAGUCAUAUAUGAAAGCCUUGUUUGAGCAUUAUGUUAAGAAAUCAAAAAACUCUUCAUCUUCAUCCACUUCUUCUUAUUAUGAAAAUUCUUCAUCCAUAAGUGGUUAUGGAAACUUUCAAAGAAGACAAAUAAUGAGAACAAAACAACAAUUUGAGAAGCAUGAAGAAAUUAGUGGAGGUUCAAGCAAUAAAUCUGAGUUGGGAAAAUAUCUUGCUGGAGAGAGUGAGCCAGAUUCGGAACAAUUUGAUAUAUUAGGUUGGUGGAAAGUUAAUGAGCCGAGAUUUCCCAUUCUCGCUGAGAUGGCUCGUGAUGUGUUAGCCAUUCCUAUUUCCAGUGUCACAUCUGCUUGUGCAUUUAGCACGGGAGGUCAGGUUAUUGAUCCCUUUAGGAGUUCAUUAACUCCUAAACUAGUGUAAUCUCUUAUUUGUCUUCAAGAUUGGCUUAGAAGUGAAUCUACUCCAGUUAAUAUCGAGGUAGAUUUAGAGUAUCUUGAGGAACUUGAAGUUGAAAUGCCUUAUAGUGGAACUGAAUCUAGCAUUGUUGAUGUGUAGUUGUCCAUAAGCAAAUGUGAAUUGUAGAAGUUUUGCGAGUCGUUUGAUGAAGUGUUCGAUGGGAAAUGGAUUGUGUCUAAAGAGGAGUAUUCAGAAACGAAAGCACUAAGCAGCCUUAUGUGGAGUAGCAUUUGAUGUUGGAUUUGAGAAAGAUGAAGUUAUAGUAUCUUUUUUUGUGUGGGAAGGAAAUUAGGAGUCUAGGACUGAACAAGAGCUGACCUUUGAGAAAGUUACAAGGUAAUAUGCUUUACUAUCCUUCACAAGACGUAAUCUUGACUAAUCUUCAGCGUGACUGAAGAGCAUAUCGUUUUUAGUAUAUUAGGGCGUUUGUAUUUGAGAAUUUAUUUUUCUUUGCUGCCAGACCUCCUCUCUACAUCGACGAGUUGCUUUUCCCUAUCAGAAAAUCUAGGUGACCCUUUGUACAUUAUUGAGAGCACUUAUUAUUAAUCUUUGUUGGCAAAUUCUGAAGGUUUCUUUAGUACAUUGCCUCCUUAAGGUGACAUGAUAAUGAUACUAGGUGACAUGAUAAUGAUCCUAGGUGCAGUAUAAGGUAUGAUGAUAGAGUUUUGGUGAUAAUUUUUAGUAUUAAAGUUUGGAAGCAUUGUCGUCAUGUUGGUUGAAUUUGGUGUGAUGAAUUAAGAAUUCUGAUAUUUGGAGAGGAAAAUGACUUCUAACCAUAAGUUAAGGAAGUCGAUUUUUCCUUUUGAUGAAGCAUCUUUUAAAGGAAAUUAUCGUAUAACCAAAUACUAAAAAACAUUCAGAUGAAGGGUUAUACCUAAAGAUGGGCAAUUCAAAUCUGCUAAACCUUUUUCUCUUAUGAAAUGAAGGUAUAUUUUAGGUGCUGUAUUCUUAAAGCUUUGCAAACUUCUACAGGUGCUGCUGUAUUCAAAAACCUGUGGACCCUAGCCUUUUCAUUCAUCGAUUCGCUGAUCGAGUAGACCAGUUGUUUUAUGGAUUGAUGGUAGUGACUGUUUUGUUGUUUUAUGGACUCUUCUGUUGUUUUAUGGACUAGUUUAUGGACUGUUUUAGUGACUCAAAUAUUUUGUGGACUAUUUUGGUGACUAGGAACUAUUUUAUGGACUAUUUUUAUGUAGAAAGUCUGUGCUAGUUGAUUUAUGGACUAUUUUUAUGAGUUUUGUGGACAGGAUUGUUUAUGCAAAUUUAUAUAUAAUGAUCAAUGACGUUAUGUAUUA